rnacentral:rRNA from 1 species
CCUACGGGAGGCAGCAGUGAGGAAUAUUGGUCAAUGGACGAGAGUCUGAACCAGCCAAGUAGCGUGAAGGAUGACUGCCCUAUGGGUUGUAAACUUCUUUUAUAAAGGAAUAAAACGAGGCACGUGUGCCUUGUUGCAUGUACUUUAUGAAUAAGGAUCGGCUAACUCCGUGCCAGCAGCCGCGGUAAAACGGAGGAUCCGAGCGUUAUCCGGAUUUAUUGGGUUUAAAGGGAGCGUAGAUGGGUUGUUAAGUCAGUUGUGAAAGUUUGCGGCUCAACCGUAAAAUUGCCAUUGAUACUGGCAGUCUUGAGUACAGUUGAGGUAGGCGGAAUUCGUGGUGUAGCGGUGAAAUGCUUAGAUAUCACGAAGAACCCCGAUUGCGAAGGCAGCUUACUAAACUGUGACUGACAUUGAUGCUCGAAAGUGUGGGUAUCAAACAGGAUUAGAUACCCCGGUAGUC